GACAGAGGGUGCAAGCGUUGUUCGGAAUCAUUGGGCGUAAAGGGCGCGUAGGCGGUUUUGCAAGUCGAAUGUGAAAGCCCAGGGCUCAACCUUGGAAGUGCAUCCGAAACUGCGAAGCUUGAAUCCUGGAGAGGGUGGUGGAAUUCCCAGUGUAGAGGUGAAAUUCGUAGAUAUUGGGAGGAACACCGGUGGCGAAGGCGACCACCUGGACAGAGAUUGACGCUGAGGCGCGAGAGCGUGGGGAGCAAACAGG
rnacentral:rRNA from 1 species